ACCUGCUGACGAGUCCAAAAUGGGACGAAACACACGUCCUAGAU
rnacentral:hammerhead_ribozyme from 1 species